rnacentral:rRNA from 1 species
AGAGUUUGAUCCUGGCUCAGGAUGAACGCUGGCGGCGUGCCUAACACAUGCAAGUCGAGCGAUUCUCUUCGGAGAAAAGCGGCGGACGGGUGAAUAACACAGUGGGAUAACGCUGCCACUGGUACACACGGCAUAACAUACCGAAAGGUAUGCUAAUACGAAAUAAUAUGCUUUUAUCGCAUGGUAAAAGUAUCAAAGCUUUUGCGGUACAGGAUGGACCCGCGUCUGAUUAUCUAGUUGGUAUGGUAACGGCUUACCAAGGCGACGAUCAGUAGCCGACCUGAGAGGGUGAUCGGCCACAUUGGAACUGAGACAAGGUCCAAACUCCUACGGGAGGCAGCAAUGGGGAAUAUAGCACAAUGGGCGAAAGCCUGAUGCAACAACGCCGCGUGAGCGAUGAACGCCUUCGGGUCGUAAAGCUCUGUGCUCAAGGAAGAUAAUGACGGUACUUGAGGAGGAAGCCCCGGCUACCUACGUGCCAUCAUCCGCGGUAAUACGUAAGGGGCUAGCGUUAUCCGGAAUUACUGGGCGUAAAGGGUGCGUAGGUGGUAUCUUAAGUCAGAGGUGAGAGGCUACGGCUCAACCGUAGUAAGCCUUUGAAACUGUGAAACUUGAGUGCAGGAUAGGAGAGUGGAAUCCUACUGUAGCGGUGAAAUGCGUAGAUAUUAGGAGGAACACCAGUUGCGAAGGCGGCUCUCUGGACUGUAACUGACACUGAAGCACGAAAGCGUGGGGAGCAAACAGGAUUAGAUACCCUGGUAGUCCACGCCGUAAACGAUGAGUAAUAGCUGUCGGAGGUUACCCCCUUCGGUGGCGCAGAUAACGCAUUAAGUACUCCGCAUGGGAAGUACGCUCGCAAGAGUGAGACUCUAAGGAAUUGACGGGGACCCGCACAAGUAGCGGAGCAUGUGGUUUAAUUCGAAGCAACGCGAAGAACCUCACAUAAGCUUGACAUCCUUUUGACCGAUGCCUAAUCGCAUUUUUCCCUUCGGGGACAGAAGUGACAGGUGGUGCAUGGUUGUCGUCAGCUCGUGUCGUGAGAUGUUGGGUUAAGUCCCGCAACGAGCGCAACCCUUGCCUUUAGUUGCCAGCAAUAAGUUGGGCACUCUAGAGGGACUGCCAGGGAUAACCUGGAGGAAGGUGGGGAUGACGUCAAAUCAUCAUGCCCCUUAUGCUUAGGGCUACACACGUGCUACAAUGGGUGGUACAGAGGGCAGCCAAGUCGUGAGGCGGAGCUAAUCCCUUAAAGCCAUUCUCAGUUCGGAUUGUAGGCUGCAACUCGCCUACAUGAAGUUGGAGUUACUAGUAAUCGCAGAUCAGCAUGCUGCGGUGAAUGCAUUCCCGGGUCCUNUGUACACACCGCCCGU